rnacentral:misc_RNA from 1 species
CACACACACACACACAUACACACGCAAACGCACACACGCGCGCUUUAUUUUGGCUGGGCUCCCACGCAGAACGUCUGUUGGCCAUGUCCGUCAAGGUCGCCGUGCGGUGUCGCCCGAUGAGCGAGCCUGAGCUGAAGGCAAACGCGGAAGUUAUCGUCCGCAUGAACGGCAACGAAGUAGAGCUACGGGGGUCUGUUGACGGCUACGGCGGCAAGUUCCUGUACGACAGCGCACUCUGGUCGACCGGGCAGGUCGUGAACGGCUCCAGCAACGCCGAGGCGUCACAGGCGUACGUCUACAAUGCGAUCGGGGCGGAACUGUUGGAGCACAUCAUGACCGGCUACAACGGCUGCAUCUUCGCCUACGGACAGACGGGAAGCGGAAAGACGUACUGCAUGAUGGGCCGUGACAAGGACGAUCCCGGGCUGAUCCCGCGCAUCGCCCAGAGCCUGUUUGAGCAAUCCGUCGCGCUACGCGAGCAGAACAUUGAAGUGUGCGUGGAGGUGUCCUACUACGAGAUCUACAAGGAGAAGGUACGAUGCCUACUGCGCCCCACCCAGGGCGGCUACGACGACACGCGGCUGCGUGUGCGAGAGCAUCCAAAGUAUGGCCCCUUUAUCGAGGGACUUGCUAAGUUCGUGGUCAGCACGCCCUACGAGUUUCUGAAUUUGAUGAGGGACGGCAACAAGGUGCGAACCACCGCCUCAACAGCGAUGAACGCGACGAGCAGCCGCUCCCACGCCGUCUUCGCCAUCACGCUCACACAGAAGCAGCAGAAAGGCAACCUCAUCACCCAAAAGACGUCGCGGUUGAACCUGGUCGACCUCGCCGGCAGCGAGAGGGCGUCGAAAACGCUGGCAACCGGGAAGCUGCUGACGGAGGGUGCCACCAUAAACAAAUCGCUCACCUGCCUCGGUAAAGUCAUCAGCGCUCUCGCCGAGGCGGAAGAGUCGGGCAGGAGUCGCCACAUUCCCUACCGUGACUCAACGCUGACGUGGAUUCUAAAGGACAACCUCGGCGGCAACUCGAAAACGGUGAUGCUCGCCACUAUCAGCCCUUCGUCGCUGCAGUACGAGGAGACGCUGAGCACGUUGCGCUACGCAGAGCGGGCCAAAAAGAUUGUGAACAAGGCGGUCGUGAACGAGACGAACAACAACGAGGUCAUUGCGGCACUGCAGAAGGAAAUUUGGACGCUCAAGAGCCAACUCGCGAACGCGUCGAUGAAUGAGCGGGAGCGGCUGCAGGAGGAGCUAGCGGCGAGCGAGGCCGUCAAGAAGGAGCUCACCUCGUCUCUGGGGGAGAAGCUGGCCUACACCAAGAGGCUGAUGGAGGAGCGCGAGGAGUACAUGCACCAGCUAGAGGUGAAGCUGAGCGCGCAGGCGGAGGAGAUUGAGAAGUUGCGCAGAGCCAACGAAGAGAAGGAACGGCGCAUCGAUGAGCUGCUGCAGCGCAUUCACAGCCUAGCCGCUUCAGGCAGUCCGCCGGACGGCGAAAAGGUGGAGCGGAUUCAAGAGCUCGUGGCAGCACUGGAGCAGGAGCAAAGCACGGCCAAGACGCGCAUGAAGGAAAACCAGCAGCAGCAGCAGCAGGCUACCAGCGCCUCGCUGGACAGCAGCGAGGACGACGCGGAGUCGCAUUCGCUCGCCGUAGCAAACCCUUCGGGGCGCCUCAACACGACGGCAUCAAACACCGCCGCCACGCUGGCGGCGGUGCCAGAGACAGAGCGGAGUGCCCCUGCUGUCGCGGACAUGGCAACGGAGCUGCCAGUCACUGUGCGCGCCGCCAUUCAGAAGAGCCACUCCGCGUUUGUCGUCUACACUGACCCGAACGCCGAAGACGUCGACCACGACCUUGUCCUGCAGUCUGGCUACGAGAGCGCUGACGAGGACUUGAUCUUAGACGAGGAAGUCGAGCUUGCCGCGCCAGCAGACUCUGACCUCGACGACAUUCUCACUGAGGACUCCGCUCUUGAACUGCCGACGACAAGUCCGUUGACGAGGGACGGCGACGCUGACGAGCUGCUCGCUGACCCAGACAUCGUUCUAGACGAGUCGGUAAGCGAGCCGCCUGCUACACCGGCCCCCGCCACUGAGUCCCCGAGGAAAGAAGCGCCGGUGCAGGACGCGUUCUCGUCACCAGCGUCGACGCCAUCUUCACGGAUCGCCACAAAUGCAUCGACGAGGGCGGCCGUACCGGCGUCCUUGACAGCAGAUUCGACCCCAUCGGUGAAGCGGCGCGCUGCUCUAUCAGGAGGAUCACUGAUCGUAUCUCAAGCCUCGGCUGAGUCGCCGACGCCGCCGCCUGUAAGCGGGAAAGAGGCGCCUGCAUUGUCGAAUAGGCGAGGUGCGAUCAUCAACGGGACCCACGUGACGCCUAAAGACUUCUUUACGAAGUCGAGUGAGCGGCCCGAGAUCUACGCGCCGAAUGACCGCACCGCCCAGCUCGUCAUUAGAUCGCAUGCGUUGCCGAACAACCGCUACCUGCACGAGCCGUUUCGCGCGGUCAAUCUGACCGAGGCUUCCCCGACGGGGCAGAAAACGUCAUGCGUCUGUGAGAUCGACAUGUUUCGUGGUCGCUUUCGCAACCUCGACACGGCCGGCGUCAAGUCCUUCGACCUUUCCAGCGUGAACCUCUUCCGCGUGGAGAAGGACCCUCGGCACUCGCGACGGUUGACGCUGUACUUCCUCGACGCCCCACAUCGCUACGCGCUCGAGUUCGGCUCCACGGCGCGCCGCCAGCAGUUCUUCGAACUGGCAAUGCUGAUGCGGCGCAACUCCGUGCUCUGGUGCCCGUCUCUCUGUGUGGACGGUGAGAACGACGUCUCCAUCACCGUCAAAGGCACCACGCUGCAGCGGCCCGGCAACAGAGACAUCUCUGUCACUGGCGAGGUAAAGAUGACAGUGGCGCGUAUGCCGUAUGAGGUGAUCGACAUGUGGUACGGCUGCUUCUCGCUGGAGGGGAAGCCACUGCCGCGCAGCAUGGCGGUGUUCAGCGGCUUCUUCCCAAAGGAUCAGCGCGAAAUCUAUGUCAUCGGCGUCAUUGACGUGCCAGCGUCGCUGCUUGGAAACGAUGAGCUGGCGAGCUACUUUCUUGCGUACAUUGGCGCCUCGACGUACGUUGUCCUCGCCAACACAGCCCUUUCGUCGGAUACGCGCCACACCAGCAAUGCCAUGCUGGUUCUCUGCAAGCGCUCCUUCAUUGUCCGAGUGACAAACAUUCAGCUGCUGGAGUCUCUGUCGCUGCGGAAGGAAGGUGUGCAUCACGGCGACUUCACCGCCGCGGGGUGUUCGCUGCGAAUCAACGAGUCCUCUCUAUGUGUAAUUCUGGUCAACGCGAAACCCGGCGCCUACACCACGCAGAGCCGGGCGGCGUGCAUUCGCUCGUUGCUGUCAGGCUUUCCCUUUGUAAAGACGUCGGUGGAUAUUUCCAUGCGGUUCGACUACUUUAUCGUCUCCGGCGCCUUCAACUUCGGCGGCGACUUCAGCUCCGAAGAUGCGCUCAUUCGGGAAAUCCUUGCUGACAACCUCAUGUCGAACAUGCGCGAGAUGGAACCCAGCACGACCCUCUCCAGCGCACCGUCACCUCUUCGCGUUUUCUACGCUGUCCGUCCCAGCGUGUCGCGCAUGGACAUGUCGGUCUACUCGACGUCGCGGGCGCUCACGUUUGCGAAUGUGUUCUUCUCCGCCGACAUCUUUUGCCAGCGCUCCUUCCUGAGCUUGUUUGCCGAAGGUGUGCCGCGCGUGCGGUUGCUCCUGAGCCGUGUGACAAUCAAGGGUGUGCGGCUCCCGCACACCCGGUGUGCGGAGCUGCAGGUGUCGCUGGAUGUCUUGGAGGGCUCCCCAACCACGUUCCGGCUUUCCCCGCAAGACGGCGACUACGUUAUCCCGGACUCGACGCACACGGCUCUUUACCCGUGUGUCAGCCACACAGAGUACCUCCGACUGCAGACGCUGACGUUCUCUCUACUGGACAGGAUUGGGCCGGCGGAGGCGCACAAGCACGCCUUGGUUGCCUCCGGCGUCUUUCCGCUGAAGUCGGUGACCUUGGCUGAACCAGUGCUGCUGCACAUUCCACUCUACUACGAGGGAUGCGCCGUUGGCAAGCUAACGGCGGUGCUGCUGCAGGUCUACUAUGAGCGUAACAGCGCCGAGUUGAGCGCUCUCGGCUUGCGUGACGCCCCGUACGCCACUAUCUUCUCCUGCUACGAGAACGAAGUGCGUCGAGCCAGUGGUCAAUGGACUCCUGCCUCAAUCGUCGAUGACGGUCUGUUUCACUUUUCCGCUGAAGACCCGACCGAGUCACAGGAACGUGAGGCGUGCUCUCUACCGGACCCGCAUGCCUGGCGCUGGACGACGUAGUGGCAGCACGACCACCGUGAGGACGAUCCACAAGGAUGGGUGUAUGCAGACGGCGUCGGUGCAGACCUGCAGCUGAGCGCCACCGCCUCCACCAGCAUACGUCGUCGUCGAUGGGUUCGCGUCAUGCAGGCAAGCGGACCCAUCGCUUACCACUUGUACUUGGCUGACAAGCUGAAGACGGCGGCAGUGUGAGUUGGCGGCAUCGGCGCCCAACUUUUCAUCGCACGCGUCGUCGCGGUGGCGCGCACACAGCUGCCUGUCUAUCUUGAUGUGAAUUGAUGCCCAGCCUAUGGCCAAGAAGGGCUUCCGCAGUGGCGGUGGUGGCGGCCAUCGCCAUACCCAUAGACCCGAGGAGGGGCCGCCUCCCGUUGCGUCACCGUCCUCGCCCUCACCGUGACUUUGUUUCCGCUCUCUCAACAUAUGCCUCUCACGCACCUGCCCCACCGUAGCAGCCCAAGCGCACAUGCUCGUAAAUUCCCCUUCACGCACGUGGAGCGGUACAUGUGCAUAUACCCCUCCUCCUUCCAUAUUCUUUACGUUACUCACCGGUCGCCAUCUCUACCCUGCUCAUGUUCUUUCUUUCUGUUAG